GAUGAACGCUGGCGGCGUGCCUAACACAUGCAAGUCGAACGAAGCAUAACGGCUCGAUUUCUUCGGAAUGAAGGUGGUUAUGACUGAGUGGCGGACGGGUGAGUAACGCGUGGGCAACCUGCCUUACACAGGGGGACAACAGCUGGAAACGGCUGCUAAUACCGCAUAAGCGCACGGUACCGCAUGGUAUAGUGUGAAAAAACUCCUGUGGUAGUAAGAGUCGGGCCCGCGUCUGAGUUAGGUAGUUGGCGGGGUAACGGCCCACCAAGCCGACGACCAGUAGCCGACCUGAGAGGGUGACCGGCCACAUUGGGACUGAGACACGGCCCAAACUCCUACGGGAGGCAGCAGUGGGGAAUAUU
rnacentral:rRNA from 1 species